rnacentral:rRNA from 1 species
ACUCAAAGGAAUAGACGGGGGCCCGCACAAGCGGUGGAGCAUGUGGUUUAAUUCGACGCAACGCGAAGAACCUUACCAAGUCUUGACAUUUACAUGAAAGGCCAAGAGAUUGGUCCCCCCUUCGGGGCAUGUGAACAGGUGGUGCAUGGUUGUCGUCAGCUCGUGUCGUGAGAUGUUGGGUUAAGUCCCGCAACGAGCGCAACCCUUGUUGUUAGUUGCCAUCAUUAAGUUGGGCACUCUAAUGAGACUGCCGGUGACAAACCGGAGGAAGGUGGGGACGACGUCAAAUCAUCAUGCCCUUUAUGACUUGGGCUACACACGUGCUACAAUGGCCUGUACAGAGGGAAGCCAAGGAGUGAUCUGGAGCAAAUCCCAAAAAGCAGGUCCCAGUUCGGAUUGCAGGCUGCAACUCGCCUGCAUGAAGUCGGAAUCGCUAGUAAUCGCAGAUCAGCACGCUGCGGUGAAUACGUUCCCGGGCCUUGCACACACCGCCCGU